GCCAGAGCUGAGAACUGAGUUCUGGUCUUCCACAUGGAUGACAAGGACCCAGCCACUUGAGCAUCACCUGCCAUAUCCCAGGAGUUGAGAAAGGAGAUGGAACUUACUCAGAUUCUCUUGAUAGAGGAGUGUUUAAAAUAGUGUCCUAACUGCUUUGAGGAGUGCCUGCCCCCCAGACUUAGUUUUGGCCCUGAAGGAAGUGGUGUCAGCUCUUCUACAGCCCCCUAGCUUCCAGGCUCAGCACUGCAGUGGGGUAUCUGUGUUGAUGCUCACCUGGAUACUGCCUUCAUGUCCCAAAUGUUGUCUUCCCUUUGAUAGAAUUGCUUUAAGGCAGAAUUCUGUCUGCUUUGUUUCAUAGCAAACAUUCAGGUUUGAAUGAAGCUAUGUUUAAAAUGAUCUUGUUGGGCCCGGUGCAGUAGCCUAGUGGCUAAAGUCCUCCCCUUGCAUGCACCAGGAUCCCAUGUGGGUACCAAUCAUGAUUCUGAAUCCUGAAGAGAUUAAAUAGUAAUACCCAGGAUAAUACCUGGUGGGUGAUUGACCUACCAAUGAAUUCCAUCCCAAGCUCUGCAUCCCUGGAGCCAAGCCGUGCAAUCCUGAAUGAGUACCUGAGGGAGGAGUGGCUUUUGUUACAUUGUGUACCAGCUGGAGGAAAAAAUAUCCAGUUUGUGGAAAACAGUGUAUUAUGUAGAUGACUAAAAUGUGCCUUUUUGUGUUUAAACCAUGAUAAACUUUGAUAUCACUUUCUGUUGAUGUACCAUUUUGCAUCAUGAAAGCUUUUUAUUUUAUUAUUUUUGAGAUUGAUUUGAAAGGCAGAGAAGGAGGUAUUCCGUCUUCUAGUAUACUCCCCAGAUGCCUGCAGCAGCAAGGACAGGCCCGACCGCAGCAAGGAGCGCAGAACUCAAUCCCGGUCUCUCACAUAGGUGGCAGUGACGCAGGUACUUGUGUCUUCAGCUCUCCAGGUGUGCCUUAGCAGGAGGCUGGCCUUGGAAGCAGAGCCAGGUUUGAACACAGACACGCUGAUAUGGGAUGGGAGCAUCUCAAAUACUGUUGUCAUGAAAUGCCUACCCCAGCGAAAAAGGUUCUUAAAAGGAUGCCAAGGAAACUGAUGAAUGGAUACUCAGGGAAUCUUGGAUGUUGGAAGCUACUGACUUUGUUCUUGAUGAUUUAGGUAUCUGCUUCUGUUGCUUAGGCUAAGGUUAUGCAAUAUUACAUUAUGUGAAUGCUCCUUGUAGUCUAGCCAUAUGGAAGAUUCUGUGCUGGUCCUGGAUUAAAA